UCUUCGUCACGUAUUCGGCGCGAGAUGGCAACAAUGAAUAUUCGGAGUUUCGCUGUAAUUGUUGUCUUGUGCACAUUUCUCUUGCCGGCAACAGCUCAAGAGCCGGCUUCAGAAGACUUGACGCUCCGUGGGAGAAGUGGAUGGCAUCAACCGUAUUGGCCGAAUUGGCAUUGGCCGAAUUGGCAUUGGCCCGGUUGGCCUAUAUGGCCCAAGUGCCCAUGGGGCGAAGUGUACAAGCAGUGUGCCAGCAGCAGCUGUGGUGAGAAAAGGUGCUCCGACAUUGGCCGACCUCGGCCUGGCUGCACGCGUGAUUGCCAAAGUCGUUGUUUUUGUAUGAAGGGUCUGUACAGAAAUGGUCGUGGAAGAUGCGUACCCAAAUGGCGAUGUCAUAAAGCUGGAUUCGUCACGCCGGUGCCCUAUGGAACCGAAUAGGGGGCUCGAAUAGCAUAUGAAUGACAUUGAAAAAAUGCAUUCAAAAACAAACGAGAGUUUUUUUUUUUGUCUUUAGACGGAUGGAUUGUAAUAAAGGCUAAAUAAAUGUUGCGUUGAAGUCA